UUAAGUUAUUAAGGGCGCACGGUGGAUGCCUUGGCACUAGAAGCCGAUGAAGGACGUUACUAACGACGAUAUGCUUUGGGGAGCUGUAAGUAAGCUUUGAUCCAGAGAUUUCCGAAUGGGGAAACCCAGCAUGAGUUAUGUCAUGUUAUCGAUAUGUGAAUACAUAGCAUAUCAGAAGGCACACCCGGAGAACUGAAACAUCUUAGUACCCGGAGGAAGAGAAAGAAAAUUCGAUUCCCUUAGUAGCGGCGAGCGAAACGGGAAGAGCCCAAACCAACAAGCUUGCUUGUUGGGGUUGUAGGACACUCUAUACGGAGUUACAAAGGACGACAUUAGACGAAUCAUCUGGAAAGAUGAAUCAAAGAAGGUAAUAAUCCUGUAGUCGAAAAUGUUGUCUCUCUUGAGUGGAUCCUGAGUACGACGGAGCACGUGAAAUUCCGUCGGAAUCUGGGAGGACCAUCUCCUAAGGCUAAAUACUCUCUAGUGACCGAUAGUGAACCAGUACCGUGAGGGAAAGGUGAAAAGCACCCCGGAAGGGGAGUGAAAUAGAACCUGAAACCGUGUGCUUACAAGUAGUCAGAGCCCGUUAAUGGGUGAUGGCGUGCCUUUUGUAGAAUGAACCGGCGAGUUACGAUUUGAUGCAAGGUUAAGCAGUAAAUGUGGAGCCGUAGCGAAAGCGAGUCUGAAUAGGGCGUUUAGUAUUUGGUCGUAGACCCGAAACCAGGUGAUCUACCCUUGGUCAGGUUGAAGUUCAGGUAACACUGAAUGGAGGACCGAACCGACUUACGUUGAAAAGUGAGCGGAUGAACUGAGGGUAGCGGAGAAAUUCCAAUCGAACCUGGAGAUAGCUGGUUCUCUCCGAAAUAGCUUUAGGGCUAGCCUCAAGUGAUGAUUAUUGGAGGUAGAGCACUGUUUGGACGAGGGGCCCCUCUCGGGUUACCGAAUUCAGACAAACUCCGAAUGCCAAUUAAUUUAACUUGGGAGUCAGAACAUGGGUGAUAAGGUCCGUGUUCGAAAGGGAAACAGCCCAGACCACCAGCUAAGGUCCCAAAAUAUAUGUUAAGUGGAAAAGGAUGUGGCGUUGCCCAGACAACUAGGAUGUUGGCUUAGAAGCAGCCAUCAUUUAAAGAGUGCGUAAUAGCUCACUAGUCGAGUGACACUGCGCCGAAAAUGUACCGGGGCUAAACAUAUUACCGAAGCUGUGGAUUGUCCUUUGGACAAUGGUAGGAGAGCGUUCUAAGGGCGUUGAAGCAUGAUCGUAAGGACAUGUGGAGCGCUUAGAAGUGAGAAUGCCGGUGUGAGUAGCGAAAGACGGGUGAGAAUCCCGUCCACCGAUUGACUAAGGUUUCCAGAGGAAGGCUCGUCCGCUCUGGGUUAGUCGGGUCCUAAGCUGAGGCCGACAGGCGUAGGCGAUGGAUAACAGGUUGAUAUUCCUGUACCACCUAUAAUCGUUUUAAUCGAUGGGGGACGCAGUAGGAUAGGCGAAGCGUGCGAUUGGAUUGCACGUCUAAGCAGUAAGGCUGAGUAUUAGGCAAAUCCGGUACUCGUUAAGGCUGAGCUGUGAUGGGGAGAAGACAUUGUGUCUUCGAGUCGUUGAUUUCACACUGCCGAGAAAAGCCUCUAGAUAGAAAAUAGGUGCCCGUACCGCAAACCGACACAGGUAGUCAAGAUGAGAAUUCUAAGGUGAGCGAGCGAACUCUCGUUAAGGAACUCGGCAAAAUGACCCCGUAACUUCGGGAGAAGGGGUGCUCUUUAGGGUUAACGCCCAGAAGAGCCGCAGUGAAUAGGCCCAAGCGACUGUUUAUCAAAACACAGGUCUCUGCUAAACCGUAAGGUGAUGUAUAGGGGCUGACGCCUGCCCGGUGCUGGAAGGUUAAGAGGAGUGGUUAGCUUCUGCGAAGCUACGAAUCGAAGCCCCAGUAAACGGCGGCCGUAACUAUAACGGUCCUAAGGUAGCGAAAUUCCUUGUCGGGUAAGUUCCGACCCGCACGAAAGGCGUAACGAUUUGGGCACUGUCUCAACGAGAGACUCGGUGAAAUCAUAGUACCUGUGAAGAUGCAGGUUACCCGCGACAGGACGGAAAGACCCCGUGGAGCUUUACUGUAGCCUGAUAUUGAAAUUCGGCACAGCUUGUACAGGAUAGGUAGGAGCCUUUGAAACGUGAGCGCUAGCUUACGUGGAGGCGCUGGUGGGAUACUACCCUAGCUGUGUUGGCUUUCUAACCCGCACCACUUAUCGUGGUGGGAGACAGUGUCAGGCGGGCAGUUUGACUGGGGCGGUCGCCUCCUAAAAGGUAACGGAGGCGCUCAAAGGUUCCUCAGAAUGGUUGGAAAUCAUUCAUAGAGUGUAAAGGCAUAAGGGAGCUUGACUGCGAGACCUACAAGUCGAGCAGGGUCGAAAGACGGACUUAGUGAUCCGGUGGUUCCGCAUGGAAGGGCCAUCGCUCAACGGAUAAAAGCUACCCCGGGGAUAACAGGCUUAUCUCCCCCAAGAGUUCACAUCGACGGGGAGGUUUGGCACCUCGAUGUCGGCUCAUCGCAUCCUGGGGCUGUAGUCGGUCCCAAGGGUUGGGCUGUUCGCCCAUUAAAGCGGUACGCGAGCUGGGUUCAGAACGUCGUGAGACAGUUCGGUCCCUAUCCGUCGUGGGCGUAGGAAAUUUGAGAGGAGCUGUCCUUAGUACGAGAGGACCGGGAUGGACAUACCUCUGGUGUACCAGUUGUCGUGCCAACGGCAUAGCUGGGUAGCUAUGUGUGGACGGGAUAAGUGCUGAAAGCAUCUAAGCAUGAAGCCCCCCUCAAGAUGAGAUUUCCCAACUUCGGUUAUAAGAUCCCUCAAAGAUGAUGAGGUUAAUAGGUUCGAGGUGGAAGCAUGGUGACAUGUGGAGCUGACGAAUACUAAUCGAUCGAAGACUUAAUCAA
rnacentral:rRNA from 1 species